GUCUAUAGCCAAGUGGUAAGGCACAGGACUGCAACUCCUCGAUCGUUGGUUCAAAUCCGACUAGGC
rnacentral:tRNA from 1 species